AGAGUUUGAUCAUGGCUCAGAUUGAACGCUGGCGGCAGGCCUAACACAUGCAAGUCGAGCGGUAGCACAGAGAGCUUGCUCUCGGGUGACGAGCGGCGGACGGGUGAGUAAUGUCUGGGAAACUGCCUGAUGGAGGGGGAUAACUACUGGAAACGGUAGCUAAUACCGCAUAAUGUCGCAAGACCAAAGUGGGGGACCUUCGGGCCUCAUGCCAUCAGAUGUGCCCAGAUGGGAUUAGCUAGUAGGUGGGGUAACGGCUCACCUAGGCGACGAUCCCUAGCUGGUCUGAGAGGAUGACCAGCCACACUGGAACUGAGACACGGUCCAGACUCCUACGGGAGGCAGCAGUGGGGAAUAUUGCACAAUGGGCGCAAGCCUGAUGCAGCCAUGCCGCGUGUGUGAAGAAGGCCUUCGGGUUGUAAAGCACUUUCAGCGGGGAGGAAGGCGUUAAGGUUAAUAACCUUGGCGAUUGACGUUACCCGCAGAAGAAGCACCGGCUAACUCCGUGCCAGCAGCCGCGGUAAUACGGAGGGUGCAAGCGUUAAUCGGAAUUACUGGGCGUAAAGCGCACGCAGGCGGUCUGUCAAGUCGGAUGUGAAAUCCCCGGGCUCAACCUGGGAACUGCAUUCGAAACUGGCAGGCUAGAGUCUUGUAGAGGGGGGUAGAAUUCCAGGUGUAGCGGUGAAAUGCGUAGAGAUCUGGAGGAAUACCGGUGGCGAAGGCGGCCCCCUGGACAAAGACUGACGCUCAGGUGCGAAAGCGUGGGGAGCAAACAGGAUUAGAUACCCUGGUAGUCCACGCCGUAAACGAUGUCGAUUUGGAGGUUGUGCCCUUGAGGCGUGGCUUCCGGAGCUAACGCAUUAAAUCGACCGCCUGGGGAGUACGGCCGCAAGGUUAAAACUCAAAUGAAUUGACGGGGGCCCGCACAAGCGGUGGAGCAUGUGGUUUAAUUCGAUGCAACGCGAAGAACCUUACCUGGUCUUGACAUCCACAGAACUUAGCAGAGAUGCUUUGGUGCCUUCGGGAACUGUGAGACAGGUGCUGCAUGGCUGUCGUCAGCUCGUGUUGUGAAAUGUUGGGUUAAGUCCCGCAACGAGCGCAACCCUUAUCCUUUGUUGCCAGCGGUUCGGCCGGGAACUCAAAGGAGACUGCCAGUGAUAAACUGGAGGAAGGUGGGGAUGACGUCAAGUCAUCAUGGCCCUUACGACCAGGGCUACACACGUGCUACAAUGGCAUAUACAAAGAGAAGCGACCUCGCGAGAGCAAGCGGACCUCAUAAAGUAUGUCGUAGUCCGGAUUGGAGUCUGCAACUCGACUCCAUGAAGUCGGAAUCGCUAGUAAUCGUAGAUCAGAAUGCUACGGUGAAUACGUUCCCGGGCCUUGUACACACCGCCCGUCACACCAUGGGAGUGGGUUGCAAAAGAAGUAGGUAGCUUAACCUUCGGGAGGGCGCUUACCACUUUGUGAUUCAUGACUGGGGUGAAGUCGUAACAAGGUAACCGUAGGGGAACCUGCGGUUGGAUCACCU
rnacentral:rRNA from 1 species